UCUCCCCGUGAAGAAGCGGGAAUAAAUAUAUAAGACGAGAAGACGCCAUGGAGCUUUAAACCUGGCGACACCCACCUAUUCUAUACCGCAUUAUUUACCCGGCCCCUGGCUGCUCAGUUUUAGGUUGGGGUGACCACGGAGUAUAAAAAAACCUCCGUGAAAGAAGGGAUGACUUCCCUUACGUAAAAACUACCCUUCCGAAAACUAAUAACUUAUUUUUUAAUGAUCCUAUUAUCGAUCAACUAACCUUGUUACCCUGGGGAUAAGAGCGCAUU
rnacentral:rRNA from 1 species